rnacentral:rRNA from 1 species
AUUGAACGCUGGCGGCAGGCUUAACACAUGCAAGUCGAGCGGAAACGAAGAAGAGCUUGCUCUUUUUGGCGUCGAGCGGCGGACGGGUGAGUAAUGCUUGGGAAUAUGCCUUGAAGUGGGGGACAACAGUUGGAAACGACUGCUAAUACCGCAUAAUGUCUACGGGACCAAAGGGGGGGAUCUUCGGACCUCUCGCUUCUAGAUUAGCCCAAGUGAGAUUAGCUAGUAGGUGAGGUAAAGGCUCACCUAGGCGACGAUCUCUAGCUGGUUUGAGAGGAUGAUCAGCCACACUGGGACUGAGACACGGCCCAG